rfam:Nicotiana attenuata strain TT chromosome 1, whole genome shotgun sequence.
GUUCUCGUAGCUCAGUUGGUUAGAGUGCAUAUUUAGUUAGCAAAAGUCUUGAGUUAGACUCUCAACAAGAACA